rnacentral:rRNA from 1 species
GGAAUAUUGGACAAUGGGGGGAACCCUGAUCCAGCGACGCCGCGGGAGUGAAGAAGUAUUUCGGUAUGUAAAGCUCUAUCAGCAGGGAAGAAAGAAAUGACGGCACCUGAUUAAGAAGCCCCGGCUAACUACGUGCCAGCAGCCGCGGUAAUACGUAGGGGGCAAGCGUUAUCCGGAUUUACUGGGUGUAAAGGGAGCGUAGACGGCGCGGCAAGUCUGAAGUGAAAGGCAGGGGCUUAACCCCUGAACUGCUUUGGAAACUGCCAUGCUAGAGUGCUGGAGGGGUAAGUGGAAUUCCUAGUGUAGCGGUGAAAUGCGUAGAUAUUAGGAGGAACACCAGUGGCGAAGGCGGCUUACUGGACAGUAACUGACGUUGAGGCUCGAAAGCGUGGGGAGCAAAC